rnacentral:rRNA from 1 species
AUUGAACGCUGGCGGCAGGCCUAACACAUGCAAGUCGAGCGGAUGAAGGGAGCUUGCUCCUGGAUUCAGCGGCGGACGGGUGAGUAAUGCCUAGGAAUCUGCCUGGUAGUGGGGGAUAACGUCCGGAAACGGGCGCUAAUACCGCAUACGUCCUGAGGGAGAAAGUGGGGGAUCUUCGGACCUCACGCUAUCAGAUGAGCCUAGGUCGGAUUAGCUAGUUGGUGGGGUAAAGGCCUACCAAGGCGACGAUCCGUAACUGGUCUGAGAGGAUGAUCAGUCACACUGGAACUGAGACACGGUCCAGACUCCUACGGGAGGCAGCAGUGGGGAAUAUUGGACAAUGGGCGAAAGCCUGAUCCAGCCACGCCGCGUGUGUGAAGAAGGUCUUCGGAUUGUAAAGCACUUUAAGUUGGGAGGAAGGGCAGUAAGUUAAUACCCUGCUGUUUUGACGUUACCAACAGAAUAAGCACCGGCUAACUUCGUG